GCUUACGGCCAUACCACCCUGAGCUCACCCGAUCUCGUCUGAUUGCGGAAGCUAAGCAGGGUCGGGCCUGGUUAGUACUUGGAUGGGAGACCGCCUGGGAAUACUUGGUACUGGAAGCU
rnacentral:rRNA from 12 species